GACAGAGGGUGCAAACGUUGCUCGGAAUUACUGGGCGUAAAGCGCGUGUAGGCGGACCGAUAAGUCAGGCGUGAAAUCCCUAGGCUCAACCUAGGAACUGCACCUGAAACUGUCGGCCUUGAGUAGUGGAGAGGAAAGCAGAAUUCCUGGUGUAGAGGUGAAAUUCGUAGAUAUCAGGAGGAACACCGGUGGCGAAGGCGGCUUUCUGGACACUUACUGACGCUGAGACGCGAAAGCGUGGGGAGCAAACAGG
rnacentral:rRNA from 1 species